UAGUAAAUGAAGUUUUUCAAAACAGAGUUACACUGAAAACUAUUGUUUUGAAAAAUAAAUGCAAAUGGCACGCUGUUACAGAACUAUUCUUCGAGGCUCAACGAACGAUUUUCAGAACGAUGAGAGAGACGAAUGAACUUACCUUGAAU